AACGCAUAUUGCGCCCAUUAGUAUUCUAAUGGGCAUGCCUAUUCGAGCGUCAUUUCAACCCUUAAGCCUCUGUCGCUUAGCGUUAGGAACCUGCGUCGCAAGGCGCAGCUCCCCAAAAGUAGUGGCGGUGUCAGGUACAUUUCGUAGCGUAGUAAUUUUUUUUUUCUCGCUUCUGCAAUGUUUCCUGAGAGACUCGCCGUAAAACCUUUUUUCUUUCUCAUGGUUGACCUCGGAUUAGGUAGGAAUACCCGCUGAACUUAA
rnacentral:misc_RNA from 1 species